rnacentral:rRNA from 1 species
UGAAAUAGAUCCCUUAAGCAUAGAGAAGCAGAGGUUAACCCUCGUACCUUUUGCAUCAUGGUUUAGCCAGUACAAUCGGGCAUAGAGAGCUCUAGUCCGCCACCCCGAAACCAGACGAGCUACCCCGGAACAGUCUAAGAAGGACCAACCCACCUCUGUGGCAAAAGAGGGGGAAGAUUCCCGGGUAGAGGUGAAAAGCCUACCGAGCCUGGUUAUAGCUGGUUGUUCGGGAAAUGAAUCGAAGUUCAGCCCCGAGAGUCUCAAAUCAAAAUGGUAAUACCUUAUUACGACCAAGAGACCCCUACGGGAGUUAGUCCAAGGAGGUACAGCUCCUUCGACAAGGGAUACAACCCGCCAGGGAGACCAAGGAGCAUAUUUAACUAAGGCAACGGGUUUGUGGGCCCUGAAAAGCAGCCACCCAUGAAGAAAGCGUUAUAGCUCAGACCCGACCACGCCUAUCAUUAGGCUUCUACACUCCGAAGCCCCCUGUAACCACCGAACCGCUCUAUGCUUGCAUAGAAGAGACCCUGCUAGAACUAGUAACAAGAAGAUUGAACUUCUCCCCGCAUAUGUGUACGCCGGAUCGGACACCCCACCGGCAAGUAACGGACCCACUAAGAGAGGGUAACGCGUUCGAGCCACAGAAGGCCAAGAAAAGAACGCCCCAAUUUCCGCUACUCCCACACAGGUAUGCCACCAGGGAAAGACCGAAGCAAAGAAAAGGAACUCGGCAAACCUAAACCUCGCCUGUUUACCAAAAACAUCGCCUCCUGUUCCUGAACCAUAGGAGGUCCCGCCUGCCCUGUGACUAGUAGUUUAACGGCCGCGGUAUUUUAACCGUGCAAAGGUAGCGCAAUCAAUUGUCUUUUAAAUGAAGACCUGUAUGAAUGGCAUCACGAGGGUUUAGCUGUCUCUUCUUUCCAGUCAGUGAAACUGAUCUCCCCGUGCAGAAGCGGGCAUUUUUACACAAGACGAGAAGACCCUAUGGAGCUUUAGGCUCCCAGCACCCGCGAGCAAGACAGCAGAACCCUGUCACCUAAAGCGAAGUAUGACCCGGGAACCUUCGGUUGGGGCGACCACGGGAGACAGAGUAGCUCCCGAGCGGAUUGGGCCACGCCCAAAGUCUAGAGGGACACCUCCAGAUCGCAGCACAUCUGACCGAUAAUGAUCCGGCCUCGGCCGAUCAGCGAACCAAGUUACCCUAGGGAUAACAGCGCAAUCCCCUCCCAGAGUCCCUAUCGACGAGGGGGUUUACGACCUCGAUGUUGGAUCAGGACAUCCUAAUGGUGCAGAAGCUAUUAA